rnacentral:lncRNA from 1 species
GGGGCUCCUCAGCAGGAUGCAGAGUGGGGGUGAUGGGGAGGAUGAUUUUUGAGGGGGGGGCGGCUUUUCUUUCUUAUUCUUUCUUAGACCAGGAGGGAAAAUGAGGCAGAGACAAUGUAGGAGAGAGGAGGAGGGAGGAGGAGGAGCUGGAGGGAGGAAGGAAGGAGGCGGGGGCCACUGAGGGAACCACACUGAGGAAACAAAAUGAGAGCUGGCUACUUCUACAAAGGGACACAAUGGAUAUGAUAUCUGCACCCCAGAGAUGUCAGGGUCUAUGAACAUAUGGAUUAUUGCACCCUGGGCAGAUAAGUAACAUCUGGAUAGCGUUCGGAAGUUCGUGCAGUGAGCUGG